rnacentral:rRNA from 1 species
CCUACGGGAGGCAGCAGUGAGGAAUAUUGGUCAAUGGCCGGAAGGCUGAACCAGCCAAGCCGCGUGAAGGACGAAGGUGCUAAGCAUUUUAAACUUCUUUUGUCGAGGGACAAAAUCAGGCUCGCGAGCCUGACCGAGGGUACUCGAAGAAAAAGCAUCGGCCAACUCCGUGCCAGCAGCCGCGGAAAUACGGGGGAUGCGAGCGUUAUCCGGAGUUUUUGGGGUUAAAGGGUGCGUAGGCGGACGUUUAAGUCAGCGGUAAAAGCCCGGGGCUCAACCCCGGCGCGCCGUUGAAACUGGGUAUCUUGAGAGGGCGAGAGGUAUGCGGAAUGCGCGGUGUAGCGGUGAAAUGCUUAGAUAUUACGCAGAACUCCGAUUGCGAAGGCAGCAUACCGGCGGCGAACUGACGCUGAGGCACGAAAGCGUGGGUAUCGAACAGGAUUAGAUACCCGAGUAGUC